rnacentral:rRNA from 1 species
CAAUAGCGUAUAUUAAAGUUGUUGCGGUUAAAAAGCUCGUAGUUGGAUUUCUGUCGAGGACGACCGGUCCGCCCUCUGGGUGAGUAUCUGGCUCGGCCUGGGCAUCUUCUUGGAGAACGUAUCUGCACUUGACUGUGUGGUGCGGUAUCCAGGACUUUUACUUUGAGGAAAUUAGAGUGUUUCAAGCAGGCAUACGCCUUGAAUACAUUAGCAUGGAAUAAUAAUAUAGGACUACGGGUUCUAUUUUGUUGGUUUCUAGACCUGAAGUAAUGAUUGAUAGGGAUAGUUGGGGGUGGCUAGUAUUGGGAGGCCAGAGGUGAAAUUCUUGGAUUCUCUCAAGACUAACUUAUGCGAAAGCAUUCACCAAGGAUGUCUUCUUUAAUCAAGAACGAAAGUUGGGGGAUCGAAGACGAUUAGAUACUAU